rnacentral:misc_RNA from 1 species
GGGAAAUGUGUCCAUUUCCUAAGAUAUAUUUUCAAUAGUUCACAAUAUUUCCUUGUGACUAAAUUGCACAAAAAAUAGUUCAUCUUAAGCUUGAGCACAACAGUAUUAUAACAUGACAAAAUUUCAUUGAAUGAUAACGGCAAGCUAAAUAGUAUGAAAAAAAAAAAUAAUAAAAUAUAGCUAAUACAUACAUACACAAUCAGUUUUCAAGAGAUGGCUGAGCACGUCAUAUUCAAAAUUUGGGGACAUAAACGUCAAUGAAGUUUGCACCCCAGGAAAAAUUAUACAUGUACAGCAACCUUAACAACCUUCAAAACUUCCAACGCAAGAACUAAAAUGUUCAACAUUGGCCAUAUAAAAAAAAAAUAUACUAACGCUAAACCAUUUAACAGUACAGGCUUUAAGCAUAAGCUUGUGUGAUUUAAGUCCAAAAUCCAUAGUUAAAAUUGGAACCAAAUGCUAAAAUGUUAAUAUUGGCCAUAUAUAUAUAUAAAAUAGUAAAUAUUAAAUCGUUUAACAGUAUAGGCUUUAAGAUUAAGCUUGUGUGAGUAAAUCCAGCAUCCAUAGUUGAAACUUCGAAAUCCAUAAGCUCUGCCCAGAAUGCUUUUGACAUGUUUUACGCGAAUCAACAUGACCGUAUAGCCCCUAACUCUACCAGAAUCUAGAUUUUGGUUUUGUUAGCACCUCAAGAAGCCUGAACAUCCAUCUAUCCAGCAUUCCUGAUAAAGCAAAUGUACCACCUAAAACUGCACAAAGCCGAGUGAUAAAAUGAAGAAAACUACGUCGUUCCUCUUUGAUUGCCACAGUGAUGGGUGACAAAUCAUACAAGAAGUAAACAGCUGGCCAUUUCUUAUCAAAUUCGCUGAUGGGGGAAAAAUACUCAGUAACAGAGAAUUGAUUGGUUGGCAAAACUUCCUUAGAGAUGUAUCUAUAUUCAGUUGGAACAAUCUUAAUGUAAUAUUUGAAUACUCCACUUGUGUCAUGCAGAAUUCUUGUUGUACCAUCUAGAGGGUUGUGAAGUCCAGGGUAUUUUGGUCCAAAUGAUAAAUCAUGAAUAAUGUGACUCACGUUGACAUGCGUCGCUCCUUCAAAAAUCAUUUGAGCAGCAAGAAUGUUUAGCCCAUGAACUGAAACGUGAAAGUUUCCAGCAACCCUUUGUACAUCUAGAACGCCAUAAACCCUGCAUCCCUCUCCAUUUGCUAAUGCCUGUUUAACCUUCUUGAUCAUACUUUCAGCAGCUUGAUCAAAGCCAUGAGCAUGAAGAUUCGUAUCAGAAUCCUCAUGGUGAUCUUUAUCAUCAUCAUGUUUGUGAGCAGCAUGUUCCUUUUCUACAAGGUCCGACAAAUAUUCAGUGCCAAUGAUAUGACCAUAACUAUUCAAGCGAAGUUUCCAAAUGUUUGUAUCAAGAUCAACUUCAUGCUUGCCUGACAAGUCAAUUGCAUCCACACUCAAGACAUCACAAGGUAAGGAAGGAAAUGUCAUAUUUAUGUGAAUUGGAAGCGUUUCUCCACGUUUCAAGUCCACCGACAUCUGAUGAACCGUGUAAGUAGUGAGAUAAUAUGUCAGCUCAUGCAGGAAUAAUGUAGCCAUUAUGACAAGACUGAUAAUGGAAACAAGAGCUCCAGAUUGUGUUUUCUGCAACAAGUGCUCUUCUGCACGUGGAAAUGCAUCCAGUCUCUUUAUUGUUUGUUUAACUCCCAUAUUUCUGUCUUUUUUUCCCCACAAAAAAAAAAGGAUAAAAUAAUAUAUCACCUGCACUUGAAUCAAUUGCAACAACAAUUAAGCUCUUGUAUGAACAAAUUACAGGAUUUGUAAGACAAUUAAUCCAUCAAUUUCGAUCAAGAGAAUUGUGGAAACAUAAAUAUGAAUGCAAAGAAUCAUACCACAAAACAAUAUAAGAAAAACAAAAGAAACCUUUGCCGCAGAAAAUAGACCUCAUAGUUUAUUCUCGAAAGUUAAACAAGCAAAAGAAAAACAAUAAAGCAACAAGUCCAGACCAAAACAGCAAAGCAUCAUUAGAACAGCAGCCAAAGCAACAGGGAACCUACAGCAUUUUUACAAUUUACUGGUUCGAGUAGCUAAAAUCAUAGAAAAAUAGAAUUGAAAUUCCUAGCAAGCAGAAUUCUAGAGGAAAACAUAUUAAAACACAUUUAUCACACUUCAAAAACACCUAUUUGAUUACUCAGGUUAGUUUCCAUAUAUCAUGCCUAGUGUUUCAAAUAAACAAUUCCAAAAGCCUAAAACAAAAAUCAAUAAUAUUAUAUGAAACUGAAUAAAUCAUGAGGUAAUUCAUAUUAACAACAUAGAAUUUUUAAAUUUAAUUACACCAUAACACAUAUUUGUUCAUCAAAUAAAUGAUAAAAAAAUUGAUAUACCAACUCAAAUUCAUGAAUCAUUAUAAAAUUAAGGGGAAAAAAUGAUAUUCCAUCUUAAAUUCAUACAAAUAAGUCUCAAUGACUCGCAACGAAUCAGGCAAACAGGCACCAAAAGUAUCAAAUUUGUCUUAUAAGUCCAUUCUGUUAAGAAAAGAAGAAAUUUCACAAUUCAGAACAAUACAAGACAAAUUCAGAACCUAAGAAAUAUCAACCAACGGACGAAGAAAUAUCAGAAAAAGCAGAAUUGAUAAGAAAAUUAUGUUUAAAUAAAAUACGGUGCCUGGGUUGAGUCAACGACGGUGACCCCCUCUCGACGGUCGGCUGACCUCGACAGAGGCAGAAG